rnacentral:rRNA from 1 species
AGUAAACGCUGGCGGUAGGCCUAACACAUGCAAGUCGAACGGCAGCACAGUAAGAGCUUGCUCUUACGGGUGGCGAGUGGCGGACGGGUGAGGAAUACAUCGGAAUCUACUUUUUCGUGGGGGAUAACGUAGGGAAACUUACGCUAAUACCGCAUACGACCUACGGGUGAAAGCAGGGGAUCUUCGGACCUUGCGCGAUUGAAUGAGCCGAUGUCGGAUUAGCUAGUUGGCGGGGUAAAGGCCCACCAAGGCGACGAUCCGUAGCUGGUCUGAGAGGAUGAUCAGCCACGCUGGAACUGAGACACGGUCCAGACUCCUACGGGAGGCAGCAGUGGGGAAUAUUGGACAAUGGGCGCAAGCCUGAUCCAGCCAUACCGCGUGGGUGAAGAAGGCCUUCGGGUUGUAAAGCCCUUUUGUUGGGAAAGAAAAGCAGCAGGUUAAUACCCCGCUGUUCUGACGGUACCCAAAGAAUAAGCACCGGCUAACUUCGUG